GACGAACGCUGGCGGCGUGCUUAACACAUGCAAGUCGAACGGAAAGGCCCUGCUUUUGUGGGGUGCUCGAGUGGCGAACGGGUGAGUAACACGUGAGUAACCUGCCCUUGACUUUGGGAUAACUUCAGGAAACUGGGGCUAAUACCGGAUAGGAGCUCCUGCUGCAUGGUGGGGGUUGGAAAGUUUCGGCGGUUGGGGAUGGACUCGCGGCUUAUCAGCUUGUUGGUGGGGUAGUGGCUUACCAAGGCUUUGACGGGUAGCCGGCCUGAGAGGGUGACCGGCCACAUUGGGACUGAGGUACGGCCCCGACUCCUACGGGAGGCAGCAGUGGGGAAUAUUGCACAAUGGGCGGAAGCCUGAUGAAGCAACGCCGCGUGCGGGAUGACGGCCUUCGGGUUGUAAACCGCCUUCGCCUGUGACGAAGCGUGAGUGACGGUAAUGGGUAAAGAAGCACCGGCUAACUACGUG
rnacentral:rRNA from 1 species